rnacentral:rRNA from 1 species
AACGAACGCUGGCGGCAUGCCUAACACAUGCAAGUUGAGCGAUAACCAAAGGGCUUGCUCUUUGGGGACAGCAGCGCACGGGUGAGUAACGCGUGGAUAACGUACCCUGGGGAUUGGGAUAACCCACCGAAAGGUGAGCUAAUACCGAAUGUCUUCCAAAGAAGUUCGCUUUUUUGGAAAAAGUGGGGCAACCCACGCCCAAGGAUCGGUCCGCGUUCCAUCAGCUAGUUGGUGGGGUAAAGGCCUACCAAGGCUACGACGGAUAGCUGGUCUGAGAGGAUGAUCAGCCACACUGGGACUGAGACACGGCCCAGACUCCUACGGGAGGCUG